rnacentral:rRNA from 1 species
GACGGAGGGAGCUAGCGUUGUUCGGAAUUACUGGGCGUAAAGAGCGCGUAGGCGGUUUGGUAAGUUGGAAGUGAAAGCCCGGGGCUUAACCCCGGAACUGCUUUCAAAACUGCUAAUCUAGAGUAUAGUAGGGGAUGAUGGAAUUCCUAGUGUAGAGGUGAAAUUCUUAGAUAUUAGGAGGAACACCGGUGGCGAAGGCGAUCAUCUGGGCUAUAACUGACGCUGAGGCGCGAAAGCGUGGGGAGCAAACAGG